rnacentral:lncRNA from 1 species
AGUUCUGAAAAAGAGAGAAGGGUAGGAAAAAAAAUGACGCAAUUCUGACGUCACUGCGCGAACACCACACUCAACUCUACAGCCAGAUGCCGCUUUAUCGUGCUCUCGGAAGUGCUUAUUUUUUUUCACUGAAGCUGCCACAUUAUGGAAUUUAAAUCGUUUGCAAUUUCAAGAAUCGUCUGCAAUUUUUAUCCUAAGAUGAAGGUGCUGGGAUGCCUUAAGAAAAAUGGUGUCUGUCCAGGUGUUGAGGCUCUGAUUGAUUACAUUUUCAUUGAUUUCAUCUUGAACUGAAGAAUGGUAAAAAAAUUAUCUGAAUGAAUCAUGUUGGGUUAUCUGAGAAAUGAGCAGCUGGACUCUGAUGAUGAGGCUCACAUCCAUAAAACAAGGAAGGCAGAUGUCUUUUGGUGAUCGAAGAUAAUUUGAGAUUGACUUUUUUUUAAUGAUGGGCCCUUUGACAAGUGUUGAGACAAUUUUGCAAUUACGGCCCGCGCUUCUCUCUUCGUUUUGCGAAUGCCCUAUCUAUGGACAGAUAGUCGUUUGCGGCACUUCUACCUCCACACUUUGACAGCCCAUAAAAAUAGAAGAUAGACGCUGGGACCCUGGAUAUGUUAGAUGUGAUUUCUUAUUAUGCGAAAAAUAGCGAGUUUUACUUCCAAGAUUUCUAUUUGGACGAAAAGCAGGAAAUUGAGCGUCGAAAAUUUAAUGAUCUAUAACUUUUGAAUGAGUCUGCAUGUUGUAGCUAAGGAAGUAAUAAGAAGCAAGAUGAAGAGAAACAUGGCGAGCAGCUAUUACAAAUGCUGUUUGAUGGAGAAAUUAAAGGCAUUCUUGAAGAAACAAGAUCAAAAUUAAACGCUGAAAAUAUCAUUUCAAUUGAGACAAUGAAGAAUUAUGAAAAACCAUGGAGGAAAAGCUGUUCUUGAAAAGAUGAUCUAGAAAAAAUUGUGGAAAAAAUAAUAAGACUAAACUGUUUAAACUGACUAAACUUAGCAAACUUUAUUUAAAAACAGGAAAAAUAAAUUGUUUCUUUGAUUCGUAAA